GCGGGUAUGGCGGAAUUGGUAGACGCGCUGGUUUUAGGUACCAGUACUUCGGUGUGGGGGUUCGACUCCCUCUACCCGCACCA
rnacentral:tRNA from 2 species